rnacentral:rRNA from 1 species
ACACAUGCAAGUCGAGGGGAAACGACAUCGAAAGCUUGCUUUUGAUGGGCGUCGACCGGCGCACGGGUGAGUAACGCGUAUCCAACCUGCCCACCACUUGGGGAUAACCUUGCGAAAGUAAGACUAAUACCCAAUGAUAUCUCUAGAAGACAUCUGAAAGAGAUUAAAGAUUUAUCGGUGAUGGAUGGGGAUGCGUCUGAUUAGCUUGUUGGCGGGGUAACGGCCCACCAAGGCGACGAUCAGUAGGGGUUCUGAGAGGAAGGUCCCCCACAUUGGAACUGAGACACGGUCCAAACUCCUACGGGAGGCAGCAGUGAGGAAUAUUGGUCAAUGGACGAGAGUCUGAACCAGCCAAGUAGCGUGCAGGAUGACGGCCCUAUGGGUUGUAAACUGCUUUUAUAAGGGAAUAAAGUGAGUCUCGUGAGACUUUUUGCAUGUACCUUAUGAAUAAGGACCGGCUAAUUCCGUGCCAGCAGCCGCGGUAAUACGGAAGGUCCGGGCGUUAUCCGGAUUUAUUGGGUUUAAAGGGAGCGUAGGCCGGAGAUUAAGCGUGUUGUGAAAUGUAGAUGCUCAACAUCUGCACUGCAGCGCGAACUGGUUUCCUUGAGUACGCACAAAGUGGGCGGAAUUCGUGGUGUAGCGGUGAAAUGCUUAGAUAUCACGAAGAACUCCGAUUGCGAAGGCAGCUCACUGGAGCGCAACUGACGCUGAAGCUCGAAAGUGCGGGUAUCGAACAGGAUUAGAUACCCUGGUAGUCCGCACGGUAAACGAUGGAUGCCCGCUGUUGGUCUGAAUAGGUCAGCGGCCAAGCGAAAGCAUUAAGCAUCCCACCUGGGGAGUACGCCGGCAACGGUGAAACUCA